rnacentral:rRNA from 1 species
UGUGAACUCGAAGAGUAGGGCGGGACACGUGGUAUCCUGUCUGAAUAUGGGGGGACCAUCCUCCAAGGCUAAAUACUCCUGACUGACCGAUAGUGAACCAGUACCGUGAGGGAAAGGCGAAAAGAACCCCGGCGAGGGGAGUGAAAAAGAACCUGAAACCGUGUACGUACAAGCAGUGGGAGCACCUUCGGGUGUGACUGCGUACCUUUUGUAUAAUGGGUCAGCGACUUAUAUUCUGUAGCAAGGUUAACCGUAUAGGGGAGCCGCAGGGAAACCGAGUCUUAACUGGGCGUUAAGUUGCAGGGUAUAGACCCGAAACCCGGUGAUCUAGCCAUGGGCAGGUUGAAGGUUGGGUAACACUAACUGGAGGACCGAACCGACUAAUGUUGAAAAAUUAGCGGAUGACUUGUGGCUGGGGGUGAAAGGCCAAUCAAACCGGGAGAUAGCUGGUUCUCCCCGAAAGCUAUUUAGGUAGCGCCUCGUGAACUCAUCUUCGGGGGUAGAGCACUGUUUCGGCUAGGGGGUCAUCCCGACUUACCAACCCGAUGCAAACUACGAAUACCGAAGAAUGUUAUCACGGGAGACACACGGCGGGUGCUAACGUCCGUCGUGAAGAGGGAAACAACCCAGACCGCCAGCUAAGGUCCCAAAGUCAUGGUUAAGUGGGAAACGAUGUGGGAAGGCACAGACAGCCAGGAUGUUGGCUUAGAAGCAGCCAUCAUUUAAAGAAAGCGUAAUAGCUCACUGGUCGAGUCGGCCUGCGCGGAAGAUGUAACGGGGCUAAACCAUGCACCGAAGCUGCGGCAGCGACACUAUGUGUUGUUGGGUAGGGGAGCGUUCUGUAAGCCUGCGAAGGUGUGCUGUGAGGCAUGCUGGAGGUAUCAGAAGUGCGAAUGCUGACAUAAGUAACGAUAAAGCGGGUGAAAAGCCCGCUCGCCGGAAGACCAAGGGUUCCUGUCCAACGUUAAUCGGGGCAGGGUGAGUCGACCCCUAAGGCGAGGCCGAAAGGCGUAGUCGAUGGGAAACAGGUUAAUAUUCCUGUACUUGGUGUUACUGCGAAGGGGGGACGGAGAAGGCUAUGUUAGCCGGGCGACGGUUGUCCCGGUUUAAGCAUGUAGGCUGAUUNNNNNNNNNNNNNNNNNNNNNNNNNNNNNNNNNNNNNNNNNNNNNNNNNNNNNNNNNNNNNNNNNNNNNNNNNNNNNNNNNNNNNNNNNNNNNNNNCCAAGGCUGAGGUGUGAUGACGAGGCACUACGGUGCUGAAGUAACAAAUGCCCUGCUUCCAGGAAAAGCCUCUAAGCAUCAGGUAACAUCAAAUCGUACCCCAAACCGACACAGGUGGUCAGGUAGAGAAUACCAAGGCGCUUGAGAGAACUCGGGUGAAGGAACUAGGCAAAAUGGUGCCGUAACUUCGGGAGAAGGCACGCUGGUGUGUAGGUGAAGUCCCUGCGGAUGGAGCUGAGACCAGUCGAAGAUACCAGCUGGCUGCAACUGUUUAUUAAAAACACAGCACUGUGCAAACACGAAAGUGGACGUAUACGGUGUGACGCCUGCCCGGUGCCGGAAGGUUAAUUGAUGGGGUUAUCCGUAAGGAGAAGCUCUUGAUCGAAGCCCCGGUAAACGGCGGCCGUAACUAUAACGGUCCUAAGGUAGCGAAAUUCCUUGUCGGGUAAGUUCCGACCUGCACGAAUGGCGUAAUGAUGGCCAGGCUGUCUCCACCCGAGACUCAGUGAAAUUGAACUCGCUGUGAAGAUGCAGUGUACCCGCGGCAAGACGGAAAGACCCCGUGAACCUUUACUAUAGCUUGACACUGAACAUUGAGCCUUGAUGUGUAGGAUAGGUGGGAGGCUUUGAAGCGUGGACGCCAGUCUGCGUGGAGCCAACCUUGAAAUACCACCCUUUAAUGUUUGAUGUUCUAACGUUGGCCCCUGACCGGGGUUGCGGACAGUGUCUGGUGGGUAGUUUGACUGGGGCGGUCUCCUCCCAAAGCGUAACGGAGGAGCACGAAGGUUAGCUAAUCCUGGUCGGACAUCAGGAGGUUAGUGCAAUGGCAUAAGCUAGCUUGACUGCGAGCGUGACGGCGCGAGCAGGUGCGAAAGCAGGUCAUAGUGAUCCGGUGGUUCUGAAUGGAAGGGCCAUCGCUCAACGGAUAAAAGGUACUCCGGGGAUAACAGGCUGAUACCGCCCAAGAGUUCAUAUCGACGGCGGUGUUUGGCACCUCGAUGUCGGCUCAUCACAUCCUGGGGCUGAAGUAGGUCCCAAGGGUAUGGCUGUUCGCCAUUUAAAGUGGUACGCGAGCUGGGUUUAGAACGUCGUGAGACAGUUCGGUCCCUAUCUGCCGUGGGCGCUGGAGAAUUGAGGGGGGCUGCUCCUAGUACGAGAGGACCGGAGUGGACGCAUCACUGGUGUUCGGGUUGUCAUGCCAAUGGCACUGCCCGGUAGCUAAAUGCGGAAGAGAUAAGUGCUGAAAGCAUCUAAGCACGAAACUUGCCCCGAGAUGAGUUCUCCCUGAGACU